rnacentral:ncRNA from 1 species
AAUACACGUUGUAGUCAAUGGCAAUAUCGCCGAGACAACUCUGUCCCUAUCUACUAUCUAGCGAAACCACAGCCAAGGGAACGGGCUUGGCAGAAUCAGCGGGGAAAGAAGACCCUGUUGAGCUUGACUCUAUUCUCUCCGCACAUGUUACGCGAUGUAACCAUGGUUUGGACUGAGCGGAGCUCACGCCUCCCUAAUUAGCUGAUUCCAAAAAUGGGGAAGGGUAUUUUCAAACUGUAAAUGAUCCC